GGGCAUCUUAUUCAGGCGGCAUCCCAGUAAAUUCGUGAGCGAGGGGUUACAAGAGUUAGAACCAUGGCCUUCAAAGCAUGGUGGCCCUGGGAGACAGAGAACAGCUAUUGACUUGAAGAGCAGAGGAAGCGAGAGAAGGAGCAGGAAGGAGGCAUAGCUACCUGUGAUGGGAGGGUGAGGAGGAAGGGAGGGUGAAAGGAUAAAAGAGAUGUAACUCGGGGGGCAGACAGGGAGCAGAGGUGGAGGAAGAAACAGGCCAAAAUACAAGGAGAUACAGGGCAAUCAGAAAGGUUGGGGGAAAGAGCAACAAGAGGGGAACAAGAUACAGAGUGAGUCAUGACCGGAAUGAGGGAGGAAAUAGAAGGGCAGCAGGAACAGCAGGAGAGUAGCGGGGAACAGAGUGACAGACAGAGAGAAGCAGGGAGACAGAUAAACAGAAUGAACUGGGAAAACAUAGUAGUGUGGAUCGAGCCGGCCAACUGGUUGCAGAUGGGAGGUCGAUCUCUGAAGACCCACGUUGUCUGAGGAAGAAGUCCAGAAGAGGAGGAAGAGAAACAAAAAGGAAUCAGGAAUGACUGUUUCUCAGGAAAUAGUCUGGGAUCCAACCACGGCCCCACGGCAACCACUUGGAGACCCACGGUCGCAGCCACUGGAUUGCUUGAGCCUCAGGAGCAAGACAUCUUAGUUUCCAAGUUUAGCCGCCCACAGUACUGUGAGAUUUUACCUUAAAAUUGUUCCAGGGUCAAGACAAGGGGAAGCACCAUCUGUGCACCCUCCCACCUCCGCCUGGGGAUCCCUCCUUGCCCGACCCUUACCGGAAGGGCUCCGCCCAGGCCCCGCCCCAGAAGUCCCGCCUUU